rnacentral:rRNA from 1 species
UACGUAGGGGGCAAGCGUUAUCCGGAAUUAUUGGGUGUAAAGGGUGCGUAGACGGGAAAUUAAGUUAGUUGUGAAAUCCCUCGGCUCAACUGAGGAACUGCAACUAAAACUGAUUUUCUUGAGUGCAGGAGAGGAAAGUGGAAUUCCUAGUGUAGCGGUGAAAUGCGUAGAUAUUAGGAGGAACACCAGUGGCGAAGGCGACUUUCUGGACUGUAACUGACGUUGAGGCACGAAAGUGUGGGGAGCAAACAGG